AAUGAACGCUGGCGGCAGGCCUAACACAUGCAAGUCGAACGGGCACUUCGGUGCUAGUGGCGGACGGGUGAGUAACGCGUGGGAACGUGCCCUUUGGUUCGGAAUAGCCUCGGGAAACUGGGAGUAAUACCGGAUAAGCCCUACGGGGGAAAGAUUUAUCGCCAAAGGAUCGGCCCGCGUUGGAUUAGGUAGUUGGCGGGGUAAUGGCCUACCAAGCCGACGAUCCAUAGCUGGUUUGAGAGGAUGAUCAGCCACACUGGGACUGAGACACGGCCCAGACUCCUACGGGAGGCAGCAGUGGGGAAUCUUAGACAAUGGGGGAAACCCUGAUCUAGCCAUGCCGCGUGAUCGAUGAAGGCCUUAGGGUUGUAAAGAUCUUUCAGUUGGGAAGAUAAUGACGGUACCAACAGAAGAAGCCCCGGCUAACUCCGUGCCAGCCGCCGCGGUAAUAC
rnacentral:rRNA from 1 species